AGAGGAAGGCGAAACGGUGAGGUGAAGCGGGCUGAGCCUAAUCGGAGAUGACGGAAAGUGACGGAGAGGAACGAGGGGUAAAGAGGGGUGACGAAAAGAGCCGAAGCUGGUGAAGCGGAGGGAGGGAAGAUGGCCGACAGGAGCCGGAGGGGCUUCGGGGGCUCGGCCGAGUGGGGGACGCCGGAGCCCGCGCUCUGCAGCGCCGGGACGCGGCUGCGCGGGGCGCUCCUCGCCCUCCCUGUCUCCCUAAGACACGUUUUCCUCCCGGGGGCACAAGAUGCAGAACGCGGAGGUCGCCAUCUUGGCCGCGUUCGAGCCCCGGGUGCGCGGGUCGCGCGGCGCCGCCGUCUGUCUGCAGAACGUUCGCACCUUCCCGAGCCGAACAGCUGCGUUCCGCGUCCCCGAGCCCGGGGCCGCGUGUCUUCUACGUUCCGGCCUCAGUGGGACCUCCCAGGCACGGAGGUGGCCGCGGCGCUGAGACCUCCCGGGUACGGAGGUCUUCCAGGGUCUCACUGAGGAGCAGGGCACACCGUGGUGGUAGGAUCACAGCUCACCAGCCUGGACCUCCCGACCUCCUGACCUCCAGCCAUCCUCCCACCUCAGCCUGCCCGUGAGUCACUCAGGAGCCUUGGCGGUGACCGGCUUGUGUUCAGUGGACCCCGAGAUUCACUUGGCCACGGUACAGAGCACAGGAGCCGUGAGGCUGUUGAAACUGUUCCGUUUUCCCACGGCUCACCGCAUAGGUGCCUAGUUUACAAACCAAACUUCAUCGUGGGUGCUUGUGUCCGUGGAGAGGCGCAGUCUGCAGAGACCUUGGUGCCAUCUGGGUCUCCGGCAUCCACCGGGGGUCUUGGAAUGCAUACCGCGGUCCAGGAAGGCCCAUACUGCGCUCAGGUGAAUAACGGCCCCCAAAGAUGUCCGUGCCCCCAUCCCCAGAACCUGAGAAUACAUUCCCCUUGUGGCAGAAGGCCCUCUGCAGCCGUGAUUAACUGUAGGGUGUUGAGAUGGGGAGAUUGUCUGGAUGAUCGGGUCCUGUGCAGUCACAGGGUCCUUAGACGAGGGAGCUUCGGAGAGGAAGAGGUGCCCCCAGGGGCAGGGGACUGGGGUGAUGGGGUCACAAGCCCGGGACACUUCAGCCAGGAUAGCUGGGAGAGGCGUGCAGGGCUUCCACUGGAGACUCUGGAGAAGCAAGGCCUACACGCCUUGCUGUUACCCCGGAAGACCCACCUUGGAUGUGUGAGGUCAGGAACCGAGAGGGAGUAAAUUGCACUGUGUUUAAGCCCUGGGACAUGACGCCAUGCCCAGCCCCAGAGCUGAGGAGCUGACCGCGCCCCCUUGCAAGCCGCUGAGAUGCAGGCGCAGCUGACGACCGAGUGGGCACCCUGCUGCUGCUUGGGGAGCCUGCGCCCUGGAGAGGGACUGAGCAUUCCAGGGGAGCCUGCGCCCUGGAGAGGGACUGAACAUUCCAGGGGAACCUGCGCCCUGGAGAGGACUGAGCGGUCAUCUUGGACCUGCGCCCUGGAGAGGGACUGAGCAUUCCAGGGGAACCUGUGCCCUGGAGAGGGACUGAGGGCCCCGGGGAACCUGCGCUCCGGAGAGGGACUGAGCAUUCCAGGGGAACCUGCGCCCUGGAGAGGACUGAGCGGCCCCGGGGGACCUGCGCCCUGGAGAGGGACUGAGCAUUCCAGGGGAACCUGCGCCCUGGAGAGGACUGAGCGGCCCCGGGGGACCUGCGCCCUGGAGAGGGACUGAGCAUUCCAGGGGAACCUGCGCCCUGGAGAGGACUGAGCGGCCCCGGGGAACCUGCGCCCUGGAGAGGGACUGAGCAUUCCAGGGGAACCUGCGCCCUGGAGAGGACUGAGCGGCCCCGGGGGACCUGCGCCCUGGAGAGGGACUGAGCAUUCCAGGGGAACCUGCGCCCUGGAGAGGACUGAGCGGCCCCGGGGAACCUGCGCCCUGGAGAGGGACUGAGCAUUCCAGGGGAACCUGCGCCCUGGAGAGGACUGAG